CAAGUCGAUACGGCAGCGCGGGGCAACCUGGCGGCGAGUGGCGAACGGGUGAGUUAUAUAUCGGAACGUACCCAAGAGUGGGGGAUAACGUAGCGAAAGUUACGCUAAUACCGCAUACGAUCUAAGGAUGAAAGCAGGGGACCGUCAAGGCCUUGUGCUCCUGGAGCGGCCGAUAUCUGAUUAGCUAGUUGGUGAGGUAAAGGCUCACCAAGGCGACGAUCAGUAGCUGGUCUGAGAGGACGACCAGCCACACUGGAACUGAGACACGGUCCAGACUCCUACGGGAGGCAGCAGUGGGGAAUUUUGGACAAUGGGCGCAAGCCUGAUCCAGCAAUGCCGCGUGAGUGAAGAAGGCCUUCGGGUUGUAAAGCUCUUUUGUCAGGGAAGAAACGGUGCGGGCUAAUAUCCCGUGCUAAUGACGGUACCUGAAGAAUAAGCACCGGCUAACUACGUGCCAGCAGCCGCGGUAAUACGUAGGGUGCAAGCGUUAAUCGGAAUUACUGGGCGUAAAGCGUGCGCAGGCGGUUUUGUAAGUCUGUCGUGAAAUCCCCGGGCUCAACCUGGGAAUUGCGAUGGAGACUGCAAGGCUAGAAUCUGGCAGAGGGGGGUAGAAUUCCACGUGUAGCAGUGAAAUGCGUAGAGAUGUGGAGGAACACCGAUGGCGAAGGCAGCCCCCUGGGUCAAGAUUGACGCUCAUGCACGAAAGCGUGGG
rnacentral:rRNA from 1 species